rnacentral:rRNA from 1 species
GGAAAGGCGCGCGAUACAGGGUGACAGCCCCGUACACAAAAAUGCACAUGCUGUGAGCUCGAUGAGUAGGGCGGGACACGUGGUAUCCUGUCUGAAUAUGGGGGGACCAUCCUCCAAGGCUAAAUACUCCUGACUGACCGAUAGUGAACCAGUACCGUGAGGGAAAGGCGAAAAGAACCCCGGCGAGGGGAGUGAAAAAGAACCUGAAACCGUGUACGUACAAGCAGUGGGAGCACGCUUAGGCGUGUGACUGCGUACCUUUUGUAUAAUGGGUCAGCGACUUAUAUUCUGUAGCAAGGUUAACCGAAUAGGGGAGCCGAAGGGAAACCGAGUCUUAACUGGGCGUUAAGUUGCAGGGUAUAGACCCGAAACCCGGUGAUCUAGCCAUGGGCAGGUUGAAGGUUGGGUAACACUAACUGGAGGACCGAACCGACUAAUGUUGAAAAAUUAGCGGAUGACUUGUGGCUGGGGGUGAAAGGCCAAUCAAACCGGGAGAUAGCUGGUUCUCCCCGAAAGCUAUUUAGGUAGCGCCUCGUGAAUUCAUCUCCGGGGGUAGAGCACUGUUUCGGCAAGGGGGUCAUCCCGACUUACCAACCCGAUGCAAACUGCGAAUACCGGAGAAUGUUAUCACGGGAGACACACGGCGGGUGCUAACGUCCGUCGUGAAGAGGGAAACAACCCAGACCGCCAGCUAAGGUCCCAAAGUCAUGGUUAAGUGGGAAACGAUGUGGGAAGGCCCAGACAGCCAGGAUGUUGGCUUA